UUAUUGUAGCUGCAGGUGAAUCCAGUCAUCAUCAUCAGCAGCAGCUAUGAAGGUUUCAAGUCUAAAACUGAAUUUCUAGGCUGUUAGCAGUAGGUGGCUUUGUCCGUCUUUCUUAAAAUAACGUGUUCCAAGCGCCUCGAUGCUGCACAUAGUGAUGCACGUGCUUUAUGCAGGUGAAUAGUCCCGAGGACUGAAACUUUUCAUCAUUGACUUCAGCCGCCCUAGCUACAGAACCCAAGAGUUGACCCCGUACUGUCCGCAUCUGUGAAUUCAAAUGAAAUGGCCUGGUCUUAAGGGGCUCACAUGUCUCCUACUGGCGGAACAACCAUGGAUAAUGGCUCUUCCCCCCGGGCUUCUGGAUGGCAGAAGUCUCCCCUCUGAAUUUCUGCUCUUUCAUCCCAAACGUUUUGGGAGCGAGCAGCGCCAGCAAAGGCUGCGCAUACCGUGCUCCCCGCCCCACCGGCCCGAUGCGACCAUCAUCUCCCUCUUGUGCCAGCCUCCAUAUCCAUCAGCGCGCAGUACUGAGCCUCUCCGCUAGGGGGCAAUGAGGCCCGGCUCCAUCGCCGGGACUCCCUCGAGUCACGCGCAGGAGGUGAGCUCGUCACUUGUCACAUGGCGCUCAGGGCUCCAAUAGCCUGGUAGGUCUCUUUGUCACGUGUUUCUCCGCAGCCCCCUCUUUCGUGGAAGCACUUCUCGCCGUGGGGUGCUAGCUCGGUCGCCGCUGCCGGACCCACCCAUAAGUGCGAAGGGAUUGGUUCUACCGGCGGAGAACGCUUGGCGCGAGCUCUGUUAUGUGGCCUAUCAGAGUCGAGCGGGCGCGAUGCUUGCCGGAAGUUGUAGUCUGUGCUUGAGCGCGGUGCCUGCCGGAAGUUGAAGUCUCCCCAACGGGGUGGGCCUUGAGGCCGGCUGCGGCGGCGCAGUGAUAUCUCUUGGCCCGGCUGUGCGUGACGCACAUUUGAAGGGGGGCUGUCUGCACGGUACUGAGGGCGGGGAUCCAGUGUGCGCAGAGGCGGCGUUGCCGUCACGAUCUCUCAGCUCCUUCGGAAAGCCUUUUGCAUUAAAGAAGCACUUAUCAGAGCUGAUACAUAGAGAACAAAGCAGGCUUGGAUGUGAUGGAGCUAUAGAAGGGAACUGCACUCGUUACGUCGCAACUUCAUUUUUUCAUCCAUGUCAUGCUCUAGUGUGGAUCUAAGGACAUGGAUUUGCACAGCUCAAUUGAAACACCUGAUAAAGUGAAGGCUGAUUCUCCUGUAUAUGUUGGUAAAGAAGAAGACAUAAAACAGUCCCAAAGAAUAACAGCCAGUGUCCAUGACAGAGAAGUUGUCGUUUUCUACCAUGAAGGGAAAUUUUAUGCCAUGGACUGUCGCUGUUACCAUGCAGGAGGUCCUUUACAUCUUGGACAGAUAGAGGAUAUCAAUGGACAGCCCUGCAUUAUUUGCCCUUGGCACAAGUAUAAAAUUACUUUGGCAACAGGAGAAGGCUUAUAUCAAGCAAUAAACCCUACAGAACCAUCCGCAACACCAAAAUGGCGAUCAAAAGGAAUAAAGCAAAGAACUCACAAGGUUACUAUAGACAAUGGAAGUGUUUAUGUGACUCCUUCGGACUUAUCUAUCAGCUGUGACUCUGAUUACUAUGCUGAUAAAUACAAAAAGACUGGAAGUUCUCAUAUGAAAAAAUAAUGUACAUCCUGAACUUCAAAAUCAGUGGCCAUAAUGCAAAAUACCAGUGUCUGUGUACAAGGCAUUAUCAGUAUCACAGAAUAUGCAAAUUUUUUCCUAGAUACUAAUAUAAAGAAAUACCAGUGUUAAUCUUAUUAAAGCAUUAAGUAAUAUAGAAAUGAGUAAGAUCAUAAACAAGUUCAAGACCCUCUCUGGAAUGAAUUAACAUUGUGCCAGUGCAGUUUUAUAUUUGCCUUUAAUAAAAUACAAGUUUAAUGUAUGUACAUUAGCCUAGUUUGAAGUGUUAAAUCUUCCAUUGCUAGAGUUAAAAUCUUUUAACAUUUAGGAGGAGGAAUAUAAUGCAUUUAAUUAGUUUAUAAAAACCAUCUUGAAAUGUUAACUAUCCAUUGAGGGACAAUUUUUUUAAUACGUUGAAAUUAUUAUAGUUCUAAACUACAUAAUGUAAUUGGGAGAUUUUUUUAAAUGUUAUUUGCAGGUCAGGAGAAAAAGCUGUUAUUUUAUCUUCUUAACACACAGGACCAGAGUUUCAUAAAAUGAGGAUGACUGCAGGAAACAUCUAAAAAACAAAGGAAGUGUGUGCAGGGAGGACUGUACCCAGUCUGGGAAGAUGUCUGGCCUGUGAAAAAUGCCUGGCGUUUCAAGCUGCAUGCAAGAGCAGCUUGCCUUCAAGAACCUCUGCAUUCUGCCCAAAACAAUAUUUAGGGUGAGAAACUACUACUUGUAACCAGGUUUUUGGUAUCGUAAGCUUAUAUUGCAUUUUUGUUUUCUUUGCUGGGUAAUCUGUUUGAUCUCUUAGAUUUGCAAUCUUAGAUUUUAAGUGAUUAUAUCCUUUGUAGUUAAACUUGUUUUUCUUUUCUCUGAAGCCAGUUUGUGGAAUUCAUAACUGGAGGGGGACAAAAGUUUGUGUCACUAAGAAAUUUAAAUGCUAUAGAACAUGGCACUAAAAAUAUUCAUAAGGCCCUCAGCCACAACUGUUCUGAGGGACAUGGCUAUUGAAAGAAAAAUCUAAGGAACACUGAAGACAUUAAGCUAUUUGUACUAAUUUUAUUAACAAAUAGAGAAUGUAAAUUCUGUAUAUGUUAAGUGUCUUUGUUUAAACAUUCAGUGCACUAACAGAGCUCACAAGCCUGUUUGAGCUUACAGUACUUAGUAGUGGAACUUAUCUUGAUCCAGUGCAGAAUGUAGGAUGUGAAUGGUGCUCUUAGUUGAAUCUUCAACAGGAAAUUCAGAAAAUGCUUGCUUCUCUGGAGAGGGUACAGUGUAACUUGCUAAAUCUUCAUAUUUGGAGAAUACAUCUUUUUCUUCCUCAUUCUUAGCGUUUUCUCUUGAGGUCUUUUCUUCUUGAACAAUGUAUUUUAUUUUCCCUAAUACUGUGUUAAUAGAGACUGCCUACAUACAAUAAAGAUAUAGAGUUUAGUUGAAGAAAACCAUAA